AGUCACUGACAUUAGAUACCCGGGUAGUCCUAGCCGUAAACGAUACUCGCUAGGUGUCGGCCACGGUGCGACCGUUGUCGGUGCCGUAGGGAAGCCGUGAAGCGAGCCACCUGGGAAGUACGGCCGCAAGGCUGAAACUUAAAGGAAUUGCGGGGAGCACCACAAGAGGUGGAGGCUGCGGUUCAAUUGGACUCAACGCCGGAAAACUCAUCGGGAGCGACAGCAGUAUGAUUGCCAGGUUGAUGACCUUGCUUGACAAGCUG
rnacentral:rRNA from 1 species